rnacentral:misc_RNA from 1 species
CCACUCAGUACGUAUUUUUGAUACCAGUUCUUCAACUUCUUCAAAGGUAGCUUCCUUAUCAUCGCUACUGAAUAAAGGAUUCAACUUCAACUGAUUGCUUAAGCUGUAUGAAGACUUUGAUGCUCCAAGUUCCUGAAUGGAAAAUAUUCGAUUAUCAUUACCAGAGUCAUGUAGUACAUUGAGUGUUUUUAAUUACUCAACAUCCUUACCAACUUACCUGGAUUGGAGAAAAGUGAAUCAUAUUAUAUCCAGAGUGUCGAGCAACCAACAGCUUGUUCUCCCAGGAUCUACUAGGAGAUAUCCAGAACUUAUUGGAACUUCGCUGCUAUCCUCGCUUGAGCACAAAUGAUAAUUAACUAAAUUUUCAAGCAUUGUUGAACAGCACAUAAUCAAGUACAAACUGAUAUGAAAGAGUCUUGUACAAAAUGUGACAAUUUACCUGGCAUCUGUGAUGUAGUAGUGGAAUGAUCCUGCCAAUGCAAGAGUUAAGGAGGCGGACUCAUUCUUCCAAGGCAAUUGAUAGUACGUAGCCCUUUCAAACUUCUGAUGUGGUAUCAAUGGAUGAUUAGUGAAUAGAUUAAUGGAUUUUCCAAGCAGACUUGGCCCAAGCCUGAAUUCCACUUGCCACCCU